rnacentral:rRNA from 1 species
UAGGGAAUCUUCCACAAUGGACGCAAGUCUGAUGGAGCAACGCCGCGUGAGUGAAGAAGGUUUUCGGACCGUAAAGCUCUGUUGUUGGUGAAGAAGGAUAGAGGUAGUAACUGGCCUUUAUUUGACGGUAAUCAACCAGAAAGUCACGGCUAACUACGUGCCAGCAGCCGCGGUAAUACGUAGGUGGCAAGCGUUGUCCGGAUUUAUUGGGCGUAAAGCGGGCGCAGGCGGAAGAAUAAGUCUGAUGUGAAAGCCCUCGGCUUAACCGAGGAAUUGCAUCGGAAACUGUUUUUCUUGAGUGCAGAAGAGGGAGAGU